rnacentral:rRNA from 1 species
UACGUAGGGACCGAGCGUUGUCCGGAUUCAUUGGGCGUAAAGAGCUCGUAGGCGGCUGCUCAAGUCGAAUGUGAAAACUCGAGGCUCAACCUCGAGCCUGCAUUCGAUACUGGGCGGCUAGAGUCUGGUAGGGGGAUCUGGAAUUCCUGGUGUAGCGGUGGAAUGCGCAGAUAUCAGGAGGAACACCGGUGGCGAGGGCGGGAUCCUGGGCCAGUACUGACGCUGAGGAGCGAAAGCGUGGGGAGCAAACAGG